CAAGUAGCAUGAGGCACGUGGAAUCUCGUGUGAAUCUGCGAGGACCACCUCGUAAGGCUAAAUACUACUGCGUGACCGAUAGUGAAACAGUACCGCGAGGGAAAGGUGAAAAGAACCCCGGGAGGGGAGUGAAAUAGAACAUGAAACCUUAAGCUUACAAGCAGUAGGAGGACGACUUAUCGUUUGACUGCGUGCCUGUUGAAGAAUGAGCCGGCGACUUAUAGUUAGUGGCAGGUUAAGGUAGAGAAUACUGGAGCCACAGUGAAAGCGAGCUUUAAUAGAGCGUGUGUCACUAGUUAUAGACCCGAACCCGGAUGAUCUAACCAUGGCCAGGAUGAAGCCUAGGUAAUACUAUGUGGAGGUCCGAACCGA
rnacentral:rRNA from 1 species